rnacentral:lncRNA from 1 species
UUGCUUGGCCUUCUACUGACUAGUGGAAUUCUUGACUGCCGAACACAUCUUAAGUAAUAACUCCUAAGAAAUCGUAUAUAUGUGGUUUCUUAUUUCAGUUGUCGUAUAUAUGUGGUUUCUUAUUUCAGUUGUCUUUGAGUGUCUUGCCUAUACUAAGCUUGGCCCCGCUUCUCAGCCAACAAAUAAGGAUUCUAGUCACUCUGCUGAUGCUUACUUUCUACUUGGGAUUCCAAAAUGGAUUAUUCCCGAACAAGACUUAGAGCUAAGUAACCGCACUCGAAGGAUCUUUAUGGAGAGGUUUUCCCUCGUAAGUCGAGUCACUCCGUACUUAUAGACGUAAGUCGAGUCACUCCGUACUUAUAGAAUAGAACUCCUUGUUUACCAAUAGAACUCCUUGUUUACCAAACCAUCUGCUUAGUUUUCAAAGGUUUUGACACCAGGAAGAAUUGAUGGCUUUGAAAAGUUGACUUCGCUAGUAGCAGCCCUGCCGCACCAAUGACUUAAGGGCACAGGAAUUGUAUCCAUGGGCAUUCUCUUCGGUUUCAGAGAAAUAUUGGGCUUGACUCGAUCUUGACUCGUCACUUUGAUAACCACAACCUCUUUCCAUGCUUGGGGUUGGACCGGACCACUUAGCACUGCAAAGCCAGUCAAACUAAGGAUAUCCCUCUGCUCUGGCUCUGUCAACAAAUACAGAUGCAACAGGACAGGACCACUACUAUUUGGGGAUGAAACUCAGAAUGAAACUCACCCGCACUAACUCUAUCUUCCUUUCCUACCCAUCCUAAAGGCCUUUCUGCGACCCUAAUUCUUUUAGUCAGAAAUACCUUUUAUUGCCCCUCAGGUGGUAUAACAUGAUAUUUCUCCCAUAAAACAAGAAAAGAUGUGAUAGAAUGCAUUCUAACCCCUAUUCUUA